ensembl:lncRNA novel transcript
UGCCAUAGAAAGAGAAAUCUACAUUUCAGUUUUUAUAAAGCAGAGUGGAGUAAAGCAGCAAGCUGAGCUACUGGAGCACUGGGGGCUCUCACACACCUGGGAGACCUCUUCCUCCACAGGUGAAGCUGGUUUCAUUCGACUAAAGAGAGGGAGUCUGCUCACAAAGGCGUUUGGAACUCCAGAAGAUGGCUCUUUCCCACUGUUAAGCGAUGGAGAACUUGAUCUUCGGACAGACCAUCUCUGGAAAAGACUUUUAAUCUCUUCCAAAGACUUAAUGGGCAACCCCCCCAGUGAAGGGUGUCUGAUCUAUGAAAGACAAUUUAGAAAGAUUCUACAAGUUUGUUACUUUGAAUUUUCUUUUAAAUGGACCAGUAAGCAAAGUAGCUUCAUCAAGAAGAGUUAUCAAUAUCAUAAUGUGGAUUUGAAUUUCUAUUUUCAUAGAACUUUUUCUUAUUUGUACCCUGGUUUCUCUUAAAUCUUAACUUUUAUCAGUGACUAAACUGAGAAAUUCACAUUAAUCAUGGAAGGCCAAUUAAUUGGAUGGAAAAAUUUUCUCAUUCAGAAAUGCUCAAUAAAUGAAAAAGUUUUCCCCUAAAAAUAA